AGGGGUGUAUUUCAGUGGAAGAGCAUUUGCCUUGCAAGCAGAAGAUCCCAGGUUCAAUCCCCAGCAUCUCCA